UACGGGGGGUGCGAGCGUUGUCCGGAUUCACUGGGCGUAAAGAGCGUGUAGGCGGCUCGGUAAGUCCGCUGUGAAAGUCCAGGGCUCAACCCUGGAAUGCCGGUGGAAACUGUCGAGCUAGAGUCCGGAAGAGGCGAGUGGAAUUCCUGGUGUAGCGGUGAAAUGCGCAGAUAUCAGGAGGAACACCGAUGGCGAAGGCAGGUCUCUGGGCCAUAACUGACGCUGAGAAGCGAAAGCAUGGGGAGCGAACAGG
rnacentral:rRNA from 1 species